ensembl:piRNA 21ur-8615 ncRNA
UUUCCAUUAAAAAACCCAAAA